rnacentral:miRNA from 1 species
AACAUCACUGGCCAGAAGGAAUCCCCUCAAGUCAAUGAGGUAUAACAACUUCAUUGACCAAAAGGAAUUCCUUCCAGUCAAUGAAGUUGUUGUACCUCAUCAAGUGGAAGGAUUUCCUUCCAGUCAAUAAGGUUGUUGUACCUCAUCAAGUGGAAGGAUUUCCUUCCAGUCAAUAAGGUU